rnacentral:ncRNA from 1 species
GGACCAGGGGAAUCCGAAUGUUUAAUUAAAACAAAGCAUUGUGAAGGCCCGAGGUGGGUGUUGACGUGAUGUGAUUUCUACUCAGUGCUCUGAAUGUCAAAGUGAAGAAAUUCAAUGAAGCGCGAGUAAACGGCGGGAGUAACAAUGACUCUGUUAGGGCUAGGGGGCAGUAUUGACACGGCUGGAUAAAAAACAUACCC